rnacentral:rRNA from 1 species
UACGAAGGGGGCUAGCGUUGCUCGGAAUCACUGGGCGUAAAGGGUGCGUAGGCGGGUUUUUAAGUCAGGGGUGAAAUCCCGGAGCUCAACUUCGGAACUGCCUUUGAUACAGCACGUCUUGAGUCCGAUAGAGGUGGGUGGAAUUCCUAGUGUAGAGGUGAAAUUCGUAGAUAUUAGGAAGAACACCGGUGGCGAAGGCGGCCCACUGGAUCGGUACUGACGCUGAGACGCGAAAGCGUGGGGAGCGAACAGG